AAGGAAAGGUAGAAGGGGAAGGAAGCAAGGAAGGGGAAAAGAAAGAAGCCAAUAAAGGAGUAAAGGAAAGAAAGGGAAGAAGAAGGAAGGAAGGGAAAGUAUGCUGGCCUCUCCGGUUGCCAGAGGCCUACCCUGACUUUCCAGCCCCUCCAAUGUUUGUGCUCCUUACCCUAUGAUCUCUUAUAUUUUCUCUCCCUGAGUGAAAUCAUCCUUUCACUAGGCUUUCAUCUAUUUGAUGAUCACAGCAAAAUUGUGCAUCUCCAUUCUAUACUUCUCUUCUGAGACUCUAACUUAAUGUAUUUAUCCAUUAGAAUUGACUCUAGGAUGGAUGGCCACAAGCAUCUCAAAUUUAACACGUCCAAAAAGCAUCUUAUUACAGCUCCCCCAAAACAUGACCUAUUUCUGCACUUUUGUCUCAUUAAAAAACACAAACAGAAGCACCUGAUGCCCAAACACAGACCCAAGCAUUACCCUUAGCUCCGUUCACCAACCCUCAUGAUUCCGUUUUCUUAGACAUUCAUCUACUCAUUCUCUCCAUCUCCACUGCCCCCUCCCCUUUUUGGGGUCUCCAUCACUCCCAUCCAGAGUCAUCUGUUCCUAUUAGUGCCUCCUCUGCACAGCUGCCUGAAUAAUGGCUCUACUCCAUGAAUCUGAUCAUGUCACUUCCUCAUUUAAAUAACAUUCCCCUUGCCUUCUGCAUGAAGUCCAAACUCCUUAACAGUCCUUGCUCUGUCCUACCUUGUAAAGUAGCAUCACUGACUUCCCCUCUCUAUUUUGUCUAUUGUUGACAGAAUCUCUUCUCUACCACCCAGAUGACCUGUAAUCUCUCUUCAAGGAACCUCUGGAGUAUUUUAUCCCCUCUGCUUGGAACACUCUUCUUAAACCACCUACCCUCAACUGGGCUAGCUUCUGCUCAUCUGACUCUUGUCAGCUUUGACAUCACCUUCUCCUGAAAGUCAUAGUCACUGUGGUAGACAGAAUAACGUUACCCCAAAAGAGAUAUCUACAUCCUAAUCCUAUGUUACAUAACACAUAAGGAGGCAUUAAGGGUACAGAUGAAAUUAAGGGUGCUAAUCAGCUGGCUCAAACUUACAUGAGCAUGGUCUCAUGCUCAUCCUUGAACUAAUCAUUGUGGCCACAGGGAUAGGAUGAGUUCAUUGAAAAAUGCUCACUGCAGAAGGACUCAAGAGGAGUGGAGGCCUUUCAAGAUAGGCCAUGUGAGUAAGAUAGGUCAGAGAGAUAUCUGAUCAGGGUCCCAGGGAAAGGUCUCUGAAAAGGCCAAAGAAGCACAAAGGCUAGAAGGUAGGCUGAUGCUCAUCUGUGGCUUUUUUCAGCCACAGUCAGGUUGCCCAAGGAAGGCAUGUGGGUGAUGUGAUCCACAGUUGGGCCCCACAGUUGAGCUGGGGCUCAGGAGGACCAAAGAAGAGAGAAGUGGGGUCUCAGAGAGGAGGUGAGGUUUAGUUAGGAAAGGGAGUGAAACCAGGAGGGGACUAAUGGUCCAGGCACUAAAGAUGUCAAGGAGGUUGAAGAGCGAGUGGGUUGAAGGAGUCAGGGAAGAAGGAAUAGGCAGAAAAUAAGAUAUUAGAGUUCAAGGCUAGAGUGAAGAGAAGGUCCACUCAAAGGUAUGACUCUAGGAAUGACCAUGGAAAUAGGUGGUAUAGGUGGAAGCUGUUGAGAUCAUAGCUGUCAUCAUGAUGUAAUAAAUACCUACUAGGAAUUUUUUAUUUGCUUAUGCCCAUUUUGAAACAGGAUUUAAGAUGGUUCACAAAGAUACACACAACAUGUCAACAGGCUAAGGCUGGGUGAGAUGAUGUGAAAAGGAGAAAAUAAAGUGAAAUUGAUGCUAUAGGGAUUCUGUGACUGCUAUGCUUGGUGCCAAAGUAGAUAUGCCCUACGAGAGCAAAAUCCAUGGACAUUCAGAAAAGGAGGGACCUAAAGAAACUUCUCUGAUAGAAGUACAUUUUAUAUUGAAGGACAGUGUGGGGCAUUUGGCUUUAUGAAGACAGAUCAGAAAUAAGAUUGCCUGUGUGUUAUUUUUUCAUCAUUGUCCUGAUUCCAGGUAUGUUUCCAAGUUUAUAUUAUCACAGUAUUUAUGAAGACUUGUUUGCAUUGAGAAAUUAACCCCAAAGGGUUUUUUUGUUUUGUUUUUGUUUUUUCGCCAGAAGUGAGUAGUCCUCCAGUAUCAUUGCAUUUAAAUAACAUAUUUAGUCAUUGUAAAUAUUUAUUUGUCAUUUUUGACAGAUUGGGGCCAGCUUCAUGUUUUAAGUCUUCAGCCCAAUAUGAAAACUUACU